rnacentral:misc_RNA from 1 species
AACCGCCGUAUACGAGACCCGCACGUACGGUCGUGUGAGAGGCGCACUCUGUCAGUUUCUGGCGGAGCCGUCUACUCGAU